GAUGAACGCUGGCGGCGUGCCUAAUACAUGCAAGUCGAGCGAACGGACGAGAAGCUUGCUCCUCUGACGUUAGCGGCGGACGGGUGAGUAACACGUGGAUAACCUACCUAUAAGACUGGGAUAACUUCGGGAAACCGGAGCUAAUACCGGAUAAUAUUUUGAACCGCAUGGUUCAAUAGUGAAAGACGGUUUUGCUGUCACUUAUAGAUGGAUCCGCGCCGCAUUAGCUAGUUGGUAAGGUAACGGCUUACCAAGGCAACGAUGCGUAGCCGACCUGAGAGGGUGAUCGGCCACACUGGAACUGAGACACGGUCCAGACUCCUACGGGAGGCAGCAGUAGGGAAUCUUCCGCAAUGGGCGAAAGCCUGACGGAGCAACGCCGCGUGAGUGAUGAAGGUCUUCGGAUCGUAAAACUCUGUUAUUAGGGAAGAACAAAUGUGUAAGUAACUGUGCACGUCUUGACGGUACCUAAUCAGAAAGCCACGGCUAACUACGUG
rnacentral:rRNA from 1 species